CCUACGGGUGGCAGCAGUGGGGAAUAUUGGUCAAUGGACGCAAGUCUGAACCAGCCAUGCCGCGUGCAGGAUGACGGCUCUAUGAUUUGUAAACAGCUUUUGUACGAAGGUAGGCGCCGAUACGUAUAUCGGGUUGAAAGUAUCGUACGAGUAAGGGUCGGCUAACUCCGUGCCAGCAGCCGCGGUAAUACGGAGGAUCCGGGCGUUAUCCGGAUUUAUUGGGUUUAAAGGGUGCGCAGGCGGUUUGGCAUGUUAGAGGUGAAAUGUCGGGGCUCAACCCCGAAACUGCCUCUAAUACUGUUGGACUAGAGAAUAGUUGCGGUAGGCAGAAUGUAUGGUGUAGCGGUGAAAUGCUUAGAGAUCAUACAGAAUACCGAUUGCGAAGGCAGCUUACCAAACUAUAUCUGACGUUGAGGCACGAAAGCGUGGGUAGCAAACAGGAUUAGAUACCCGUGUAGUC
rnacentral:rRNA from 1 species